rnacentral:rRNA from 1 species
GUGCAAUGGCAUAAGCUAGCUUGACUGCGAGCGUGACGGCGCGAGCAGGUGCGAAAGCAGGUCAUAGUGAUCCGGUGGUUCUGAAUGGAAGGGCCAUCGCUCAACGGAUAAAAGGUACUCCGGGGAUAACAGGCUGAUACCGCCCAAGAGUUCAUAUCGACGGCGGUGUUUGGCACCUCGAUGUCGGCUCAUCACAUCCUGGGGCUGAAGUAGGUCCCAAGGGUAUGGCUGUUCGCCAUUUAAAGUGGUACGCGAGCUGGGUUUAGAACGUCGUGAGACAGUUCGGUCCCUAUCUGCCGUGGGCGCUGGAGAAUUGAGGGGGGCUGCUCCUAGUACGAGAGGACCGGAGUGGACGCAUCACUGGUGUUCGGGUUGUCAUGCCAAUGGCACUGCCCGGUAGCUAAAUGCGGAAGAGAUAAGUGCUGAAAGCAUCUAAGCACGAAACUUGCCCCGAGAUGAGUUCUCCCUGAGACUU